GACGAACGCUGGCGGCGUGCUUAACACAUGCAAGUCGAACGGAAAGGCCCUGCUUUUGUGGGGUGCUCGAGUGGCGAACGGGUGAGUAACACGUGAGUAACCUGCCCUUGACUUUGGGAUAACUUCAGGAAACUGGGGCUAAUACCGGAUAUGAGCUCCUGCUGCAUGGUGGGGGUUGGAAAGUUUCGGCGGUUGGGGAUGGACUCGCGGCUUAUCAGCUUGUUGGUGGGGUAGUGGCUUACCAAGGCUUUGACGGGUAGCCGGCCUGAGAGGGUGACCGGCCACAUUGGGACUGAGAUACGGCCCAGACUCCUACGGGAGGCAGCAGUGGGGAAUAUUGCACAAUGGGCGGAAGCCUGAGGCAGCAACGCCGCGUGCGGGAUGACGGCCUUCGGGUUGUAAACCGAUUUCGCCUGUGACGAAGAGUGAGUGACGGUAAUGGGUAAAGAAGCACCGGCUAACUACGUG
rnacentral:rRNA from 1 species